AAUUCUGCGUCACAUGGACUUGAUUUGGGCUUCUUACAUACUCUGACUUUAGCCCAAAGAUCAGGUGAUCGAACACAAACCCCUUCGUUUUCUCAGUUUCUUUCCGGCGGCGAUGAUGGCGAUUCUGUUUCUAUAAGUGAUGCGUUGCGAUUCCUGCGUGAUUACUCCCAGUGUCUUUAAUUCGUGAGUUCACUACAACCUCUUGCGUUGCUCAUAUGUUGACUUCGUGUUUAAAUAGUUGCAGGGAGACCAACCCUAAACAGCUUCUGUCUGAUUUGAAAAAUGGUCGUUGCAGGGAGACUGUUGUGACACAGGUCCUCCAUUUUUGAGAAGCAAGGAACGUGAGGAAGGAUGUAGAGCUUAUGAUUAUGGUAGAUGAGGUGGUAUUUAUUCACAUUUGAAUCUAUGAUAUUAUUCACAUUUGAAUCUAUGAUACUAUUCACAUCUGAAUCUAUGAUAGUUGAAGUCUUUGGCAAUUAUGUUUAUUGCAAAUGUUUGAUUGUUUAUUCUUGAUUGCAGUUGACUCUGAUCCAGGGAUCUAUACCCGUCAGCCCGUUUAACACCUCAUUAGAGAAUGAGCAAUUUAUGAGCUCACAACUCAAUUUACUUUCGUAUGUUUGGUCACUGCAGAGGUAAACCACAGAUUAAGGACCUGUUAUCGUGGGGAUCAUCAUGUGAGCUCAAAUCAUGAUCACUGUAAACAUGGCAAGAGGUGUGAUCAUCAUGAUGCGGUGAAUGCAUAGAAGAUUGUGCGGAGGAAGAGUUUUGAAAUCUCAGAGACAGAAAAAGUUAAGACUUCAGGUCUGAGAAGGAAGUCGUUGACUAAAAAGGUUCUCGGUACCAAACUAGACAAUUCUGUUGCUGCAAAGAGAGAUGCGUUGGCUGUAAAGCAACAACCAUGUGAUUCCGUGAACACUGAAACAUCUGGCCUUAAAAAAGAUGGUGAGGUGGCCAGAUCUGCUGAUGGUUCGAGGUUAAAAGCAAUGAUAAAGCUCAGAAUAACAAAGCAACAAAGAGUACUCUGACUGUUUCAGCUGUUGUUAAAAAGGUUAAUGAAAUGUAAAGUUCUGAUUUGAAGAAGGUUUCAAGAAUCAGUGAUGCUGAAAUUUCUAGGUUUCUGCUCCAGGAAUAAGCGAUGGAGAUGUAAAAGGGAAGACUGUGUGUGUUGUUGCAGCUAGCUUCAAAGGUGUUCAGAGUAAGAAGGAAGCAUCAUCUGAAACAAAGAAAAACAUGAGUAGUGGACAUAAAAGUUUGGCUACUCCUAAAAAGAUACGUGGUGAUGCAGAGCUUGAAGCAGAUCAAAGAUAUAUAAGAUCACUUGAACUUUUUUUUGUAAUUCAAUCGUUUUUAGUUUAGCUUUAGUUCAAAAAAAAAAACAUUUUGGA